UCCGUUACCUCUCUUUUAGAUAAAUCUCCGUAUAUCCAGAUAUGUUUUAACGUCAGCUGCUCCUACUAGCUGCCUUAACUCACAGCGAGGGGGGCGGGGCUUCCCCACAGUGACCCUCCUCUGCGCUCCGCAAAAACAGCAAGCUGAUUGCCUGUUUCUCCUGAAAGGCGGGACUUUCUCCUUGAACUGGCACCGUGAUUGGCGUUAAGAUAUUUAAUAAUCUCUCAUUAAUAUGUUUUUUUUAAUAUAUUUUUUAUAAUACGGGAAAUUUACGGGAAAUUACUAAUACGGGAGGACUUACUAAUACAGGAGUUUCCCCGCCAAAACUGGAGACUUGACAGGUAUGCAUAAACACACCUGCACAUUGGUUUAGCUACAGAAAGAAAGAUUUGUGCUGUAUUUUAUUUACCUGGGAUGUGGGAGUUCAUUGCUUGGAAUGACCUCACACCAGAGGUUGUUUGCUGCGCUUCAGUUAAACAGCUAGUUAUUGUUGUUUGCAUUUCCUCAGAUUAAACUUGCUAGCCAUAUUAGCUCUUAAAAACUCUAUUACUAGGGGUGUGUGAUAUCUAUCGUCUACAAUAAUAUAUGCUAAUCAUGAUGCUAAUCACUGGGGUCAAACCGCUCUCUCCACUGGGGGGAGCCGUUAGCCUCAGUUAGCUUCACCUGUGUCAUUAAAUCCACAAAAGAAGUCACGACAAACCGCAAGGAGGGCAGCAGUGUUUUACUACAAACACUCCAAAGAAUUAAACAAACACGGGCUGUGUGUGGGAGCAGGAGCGCACCCCUCCCGUUCGCCUUCUGCCAGGUCCAAACAGAGAACAAACAUGGUGGAGUCUCAGAAAAAAAAGGAGAAAAAGAGAGAGAGAGAGAGAGAGAAAGAGAGAGAGAGACACUCAGGAAUCUGAUCAGGAGGAUAAAAUGCAGUACUAGACAGUGAAGUGUUGUCUCUUCACUCAAGGACCCAGGCAACGAGGACAGAAAUAGAAGGAAGGAAACUGAAAUGUAAGUAAAAGCAUGGAUACACACUGUGCUAAUUUCAUAUCUGAAACACGACUAACCAUCCAGCCCAGGCCAUUCAGAUAUCCUACAUUAGCCAGACUCUAAAAAAAUGUAGUGCUUUGUGUAUCUGUGUAAAUCUAGCCCCUGUUUGAAAAGGGGUGGAAAAAAGAAACAGCAGUCUAAGGAAGAAUGCAGCUCCCUAAAAUACAUAGUUUGUUAAUGAAACGUGAAAUAUGCUUUUUGAAGUAUGGUAAACCUGGUAAGUUGUAGCACAUUUAUAUAAGAUAAGCGAAAGUAAGCAAAAAGCAAACAGAAU
rnacentral:lncRNA from 1 species